GUGCAGCAGGCGAGAAUCUUCCACAAUGGACGAAAGUCUGAUGGAGCGACGCCGCGUGCGGGAUGAAGGCCUUAUGGGUUGUAAACCGCUGUCAGGGGGGAAGAACAUCGGAAUGAACAAUACUCAUUCCGACUGACGUUACCCCCAGAGGAAGCUCCGGCCAACUCCGUGCCAGCAGCCGCGGUAAUACGGGGGGAGCAAGCGUUGUCCGGAAUUAUUGGGCGUAAAGGGCGUGUAGGCGGCGUGGUAAGUCGAAUGUGAAAUCUCACGGCUCAACCGUGAAACUGCGUUCGAAACUACCCUGCUUGAGUACGGGAGAGGUGUACGGAAUUCCUGGUGUAGCGGUGGAAUGCGUAGAUA
rnacentral:rRNA from 1 species